GGUUUCUCUUUCAUCUUGAUUUUCAAAUUUAUGCAGUAUCGAACUUGAUUUGAUUGCCUUUUUCAAGUUGUACGUGCACUAUGAUUUUCGUGUUUUGGUUCUGUUGUUAUAAUUGUUCAACUUGUUUAGGGUUUCUGGAGUGUAAUUUGAUUGGAGUCGAUUUUUUUUGCGUUUCCAGUGAUCUGAGACAUGAUUUUAGUUAAGAUAUGAUGUGCUUUGGAAUUGUUGUGAAUUGGAUGUGGUUACAAAAAUGGUAGAAUGCUAGUUUGUGGUGUGACUGUGAACUGAUGAGUUGUAAAAAGGUAUCACCUUUCAUACGAGAUUGUAGAUACGGUAUAGAAAUGAGAUUUCUUCUGUUCGCAAGAAUGGGUGUUGAAUUGUUCGUGUUUACACUGGUUUGGGAGUAAAAUUGCCAAGUCGGAAUAAAAUAACUUAUGGGGUUCUGUUGGAGUACAUCGAUGAAGAGUGUGAAGAGGAGAUAUGGGGGAGUAAUACAGGAAGAAAGGGAGAAGCAAGAGAGAUAGGAUGGGAUGGAUAGAUUGAUUUCCUUAAAUGUUUUAAGUCAAUUAAUAUAACAUGUAUCGUCAUGUACAGUGGCCAUCACUAGCAGAAUCAUCUUGAUUUCUUCUCUGCCAUGUUAGGGUUGUUUUAGAUAGUUGAGGAAAAUAGGGUCACUUGGAGAAAAUAACUGUUAUACGCGAUUACCAUAGGUAUUUGCUCAUCCAUUUAAAGGGAACGAGUGUGGGAUGAAAUUCUUGAAUUGUUGAAAACACUGCCUGAUAUCAUGAAAGGCAUAUAGAAAUUUUAUGAUGAUGAAUAAAAUUCGUGUAUGAUCUAAUAUCAUUAAGUAGAUUGGGAUUUUGGAAUUUUUGUAAACGGAGAAGCUUGUGUGUGGGUAAAAUAUAAAAGUCCUAGAGAUGUUAGAAGGAGAAGUAAGAGAGUAAUAGAGAUAAAUUAUGUCAUUUUGCUUGUUUUAGGGUAGUACAUUAUUUGGAAUCUUUGUUAUGUUAGUAUAUAGUAGUAUCUCAUAACCUCGAUGUUGGACAACCUGUAUGUUAUCAACAUAUCUGAAAAUUAAUUAGUGAUAAUUGACUGCAGUAAUGAUUAAAUAGUAGCUCUUAGUUACACUGAGGAAACAACACUGCUUUAUUGUAUCUACAUUUCAGACGAAAAAGUUGCUACUUGUUGUUACUCUAUGAAUGGGGUCGAGGUCGAAUAAUCACAUGCACCACAAAAGAAUAAGUCCCAUAACAUGUGAAUCAUUUUGUACUGACCCUGCAAAUUGGUUCAUAAACAUCCAUACUACUUCUUUCUAUAUAAAUAGGUCAGAAACAACAUAAAAGAUUGCCAAACGUACCAAAGAUAAGCCACUACAAUGUUAUCUACCACUCUUUCAAAGAUGUAUCUUCCACUCUUCAUCCUUUCCCUCCUUAUUUCGCUUUACUCGGCUAGCGCAGGGGACUUCUGCGUCGCAGAUUUGAGCCUUCCCGACGGACCAGCAGGGUACUCGUGCAAGAUCCCUGCUAAGGUCACAGCCGAUGAUUUUGUUUACCAUGGUUUAGCCGCUGCUGGCAAUACUAGCAACCUCAUCAAAGCUGCCGUGACACCAGCAUUCUCUGCUCAAUUCCCUGGUGUCCCUCCAUUCAAUUCAUUCAUUCUUAUCCUAUCUCUAUUACAGUGAAUAAUGAACCAACGGGAGUAGCUAGGUCAAACGUAGACCUCUGACUAUACACACUAUCGGCCAGAUUUAGCUAGCUAUAUUAUAGUGAUGCGGUACUUGGUGGUUAUUAGAAGGAAAAUGAAUAUGUACUUAUUAUAAGUAUUUGUGGUACUAAAACAAAUAUUUAUUAGUUGGGUUUGAUUAAGUACAUUAAUUUUUGUUAAUUACGAUUUGUCAUGUAUACUCUUAAUUUAAUUAGUUUUGGAAAUUAUAAUAUAGAUAUGCCAAUUAUUUUUGGCAUUUCAAGAGUA